GGCGAACGGGUGAGUAACGCGUAGGGAUCUGCCCUGAAGUGGGGGACAACACGGGGAAACUCGGGCUAAUACCGCAUAAGCUCUUCGGAGUAAAGAUGGCCUCUGUAUAUGCUAUCGCUUUGGGAUGAACCUGCGUCCGAUUAGUUUGUUGGUGGGGUAAAGGCCUACCAAGACUACGAUCGGUAGCUGGUCUGAGAGGAUGACCAGCCACACUGGAACUGAGACACGGUCCAG
rnacentral:rRNA from 1 species